rnacentral:lncRNA from 1 species
UGCUGAGAUCCUCAGUGGCUACCGUCCCUCCCCGGCUGCUCGGGGUUGUAAGGAUUCGGCCUACACGGGGCCCAGCCCGAGCCGUGGCAGGGACAUGGCAGCCGCAGGCUAGACUCGGCCUCCCUGGGCACAAAUCUCAGCCUCACCACUAACUAGGGGGGUAAGAGGCUGAAAUGCACCCCCUCAAAAGUCAUGUUGAAGCUCUAACCCCUAGGCCCUCAGAACGAGGCUGGGUUCGCAGACGGGGCCUUGCGAGAGGUGACAAGCAGAAACGAGGAGGUGAGCACAGGCCCUGUGCCAGUCUGGCUGGUGUCCUGAUGACACGAGACCUGCAGGGGUGCGUGUGCCCAGAGGAAAGGCUAGGGGACCGGGGAGCAGGAGGGCCACCACCUGCAGGCCAAGGAGGCCCCCGAUCCAAAGAGAGGAAACCAGUCCUGCUGACGCCUGGCCUGUAGAGGUCCAGCCUCCAGAAGCAGGAGAAAGGAGCUGUCCACUGUUAAGCCACCCGGUCUGUGCUACUGUCACGACAAGCCUAGCAAGCUAAGACACCACAGACACUCAGACUGCAAACUAGGAGCGAUAACAGCACUCAUUUCAUGAGCGAUAAAGACUGGUGGGGGGGCCGAAGGUCGGUGCCCCCCCAACCCCCAGGGUGGGUGCAGGAACGACAGGAAGAGAGGCAUUUCUGACCUGGAAUUUCAGCCGGUCAAGGUGUGCAGGCCUGCAGUCUUGUGGCUUUUUCUGGGCCACAAAUGACGAGACUCCGUCUGAUGACGAAGACCAAAUUGGGGGGGGGGGGGGGGGAGAACCAAGCAGGAAGCACUCUGCUUGUGUUCCUGGAUCUGAGCCUGCCUUAAACCCAGCUCCUCCUCCAAAUCUCCAGCUACCCUCUGAGCUAGUAAUUCCCUUUGCGGCUUAAGCUGGUUCGAGUUGUGGUUGUGGCACGUGCCACCCACGGAGUCAUGACAAACCCACUGGCUCUCACGGUGAAGCCCUACUGACCACUUUGCUGUCUGUGCGAGACCCGCGGUCUUGCGUAACCUGCUCAGGCAGCUGCCCCAGGGACUCGCCGGGAGCCUAGGGAGCCGGGAGGAAGGGGCCAGAGCGUGCCUGGAUCAGCACGACGGGUGCUUGCAGGGCCUGGACCCAAGGCCUGCUCGCUCCCGCAGCUCUCUUGUGGGUCAAGACUGGACUGCCACACCGAGGAACUGUGACAGCCUGAUACACAGGGUCUUGUCCACCUGGAUCAGGAGAAAGUGAACCAGGCAAUUUGUCCUUCUGGCCAAAUCACGGCUCUAUUUAACUUUGAAAGCUGUACCUACAAGACGCCAGCCUUUCUCAGACGCGGCGGUAACAGGAGCUGGAGGCCCCCCAGCGCUCGUGUCCCAGGGGAUCCGCUGUUCUGAAGCGAGGGAGGAAGCCGCAGAAUCACUCACAUUUCCGGGGGUUGAUUUACGCAGAACUCCCACCGGGGGCCGCCUGGAAGGGAGCUGAGAUCAGCGUGUGCCCAAGCACCCGCCGUGUCUUCCAAGGAAGCCAGGCUGACAAGAGUGGCUCCCACUUCUGCACUAAGCCCUUGAGGCAUCUCACCCCAUCUCUGGGGAACACGGUCUUCUUCGUUUUACAGAUAAGGAAACUGAGCCCUUGAUGAGGAAUUCAUUCAGGGUGUCACCCGUAUGUGGCAGAACCCGACCUUAAGCGCCACACAUCACGUCUAGAGCCCUCGCCACCACCCCUGGUUCUGCCUCUAAGAUCUUGUGUGAUUUCAGGCAAGACUUCUUCCCCCCUCUGGGCUGCAGUUUCCUCAUCUAACAGGUGAAGCUUCCAGACUGGCUCAUCUCUCUGGAUUCUCCUGGCUCUGAAGUUUUUCUAAUUCCAGGUUUAAAAAAUUCGCUUUGGGAGUUCCCGUCGUGGCGCAGUGGUUAACGAAUCCGACUAGGAACCAUGAGGUCGCGGGUUCAGUCCCUGCCCUUGCUCAGUGGGUUAACGAUCCGGCAUGCUUCACCCACUGAGCGAGGCCAGGGAUCGAACACCCAUCCUCACAGACACGAUGUGCGUUUCCUAACCCGCUGAGCCAGAGUGGGAACUCAUGUAAUAACUCUCGAUUGAACUAUUGUGUACGUAUCUGUCUCCUCUCCUGGAUGCUGAAUUCCUUGAGGCUGGAGAUCAUUCCGACUCACCAUGCGGUCCCCAGCGGGAAUGGGCACAGGGUGCAACCAACACGCUCCUACGAGAACUGACGAAAAGUGGGUGUCGUUCUUACGGGGACGACAGACUUAAUCAAAGGGGAAGUGCAGGAAAAAUACGGUUAUUCCUUUCUCCAGACCCCCAAACGGCCGCCCCAAUCAUCGCGUUCGGGUGCCCAACGGCAACCCAGCCGCGGUAACUGUAGUCAACAGUGCCACCUUGUGGACGUUGUGGGUGGUGAUUAAACCAGAGCACCUGGGCGCCUUCACCGCAACUUCCUGCUGUCAACCUUGGAACCGAGCGAAGACUGCGUUCCACGGUUUUACGUCUCUCCCGGACCACAGCGCAGUUGAUUCCAUUCCAUCAGUUACUCCGUAGUACAUACGCAUUUCCCUUAGCUCCUCUGAUUUUAUGUUCCGACUCUCUGAGAAACCUCCAAAGACUUUCCAAGCUUCUGAAAGUCCUAAAAACCGACCGAAACCUCCAUCUGCUCUUGCAGUACUUACGCACCAUUUAUCUUAAAACGCUAUUUCAAAGGGAAUAUUAGGUCUUUUAAAGCACUAAUGGGCCGGCCUCAGAACUUGACUACAAUUUAUGGCCUUGUUUCCAAGUGCUUCAGAAUUCAAACCGUGAACUUUUGGAAGUGGAUCCGCUUGUAAAUUGUGGGUUGUCUGCUUUAGAAUUUAAACUGACCUUUCCAAAUUGGAAAAGUGGGCAGGAACAAAGAGGAACUUGG